GAGUGACAGUGAAGACACGUGCUGGGAGGACUCGUACUUGCUAUUCGUAACUUUGCUAUGAUCUCGUUGUUAGUGAAUGUCUUUGAAUUACGCUGAUGAGCUGCACAAGGGUUUACCAUACUUUCGACAACAGAUCGCUCCCAGCUCUGUCUAUUAUGCCAGUCGAUUUAGCCAUGAGACUCUGCCUGGCACACUCCCCACCUAUGAGGAAUUUCCUCGGCCCUUACGAAGCUUGCAGAGGGUUAAACGCCGCCGGCAGGCUGAAGCCGCUGCGGCCCUGCAUCAAUGUGCGGGCGGGCGCUGAUCCUUGCAAAGGCGCAUGGGGCCACCACGACAGAGGCAAAAGGAAGAAAACGGUGGCGUUUGCGGACGACAAGGGCUUCGCGCUUACUGCAGUUCACAUUUUCUCCGAAUUUGACGACUCGCUCACUGAACUACAAUUUGAACUGACGGAUCUCGACAACGAAAUCAAAGGACUGAACCACGAAGAAAGGAAGCCGCUGGUGCUGGACUUCCCGCAGCCAUCCGCCGAUUACUUGGAUUUCCGAAAUCGCCUCGCGAAGAAUUUUGUCUGUCUGGAGAACUGUAUUCUUCAGGAUAAAUUAAUCUCGGGCACCGUCGCUGUGAGGAAUCUUAGUUAUCAUAAAGUCGUUCAAAUCCGAAUUACGUUCGACACUUGGAAGAGUUAUAAGGAUGUGGACUGUACAUUUGUAAACAAUAUUUAUGGCUGUUCUGAAACAGACACCUUUUCUUUCGCUAUUGAGCUGCCAUCCUGCAUACUGCCACAUGAGAGAAUCGAGUUUUGCGUCUCCUUUAAGAGCGGAGACCGAACCUACUGGGACAACAACGACGGCACGAAUUACGGGAUUGUUCACGCCGAAUGGAAGUCGGAUGGGAUUCAGGCCCCGCUCGUCUUCGAAGACAAAGUGAUGGCGAAGGCCUCCGAGAAGAUGCAGACUCUAGAAUGCGACCAGUACGGGAGCCCCCGAGCGUCGAGCGGCUUGGUUCCUGAGUGGCACAACUGGAGCAAGAUCGAGUCGGCGCUUCCGUACUGUGCAGAGUUACUAAAGUUCAAAGACUGCAGCCAAGUGAAAUUAAAGAAUAACUCCUUGGGAAUCUAGGAUACUGAGGAAGAUGGCCUUUUCUGGUAAGCGUUGAUAUCCUACUUCAAUGGAAUAUUCAAUGGCCCAUCCAUUGACCUGAUAACCUGAUUUACUUAAACUAUGACACACGAGGAGAUUGGAAAUGUUGAAGGUCUACAAUGGAUGCAACCUCACUGGACUUGACCUUGGAUCACCUGGACAAUGGUGACACCUGUAGCAGGCUGUUGUUCAUUGACUACAACUGAGUGUUGAACACAAUAACAACCUCAGUUCUAUUCAACAAGCUCCAGGCCUGGGUCUCUGUAUCUCCCUCUGCAACUGGAUCCUUGACUUCAUCACCGGGAGACUACAGUCUCUGCAGAUCAGAAUAUCAUCUCCUCCUCGCUGACAAUCAACACUGGUACACCUCAAGUAUGUGUGCUUUGCCCACUACUCUACUCUCUCUACGCCCAUGACAGUGUGGCUAGACACAGCUCAGACAAUCUAUAAAUUUGCUAACAACACAACUUUUGGCAUAAUUUCAGAUGGUGACAAGGAGGCCUACAGAAGUGCACUCAACAUCAGUAAGACUAAGGAAUUGAUUGUGGAGUUGAGGGAACACACAUUAAUCCUCUCAAAGGAUCAGCAGUUUCAAGUUCCUGGGUGUCAACGUCUCUGAAGAAUUAUCCUAGGCCCAACUUAUUGAUGCAAUUACAAAAUGCCAGUAGUCCAUUAGGAGUUUGAGGAGGCUUGGUAUGUCACCAAAGAUGCUUGCAAAUUUGUACAGAUGCAGUGGAGAGCAUUCUAACUGGUUGCAUCACCGUCUGGUAUGGAGGGACACUGCACUGGAUUGGAAAAAGCUGCAGGAAGUUGUAAACUCAGCCAGCUCCAUCAUAAGCACUGGUCUGCCCAGGACAGGGGAUACCUUCAAAAGGAAACGCCUCUAAAAGGUAGCAAAACCCAUCACCAGCAUUUUGGACUUGCUGUUUUCUCAUUGCUACCAUCAAGCAGGAGGUACAAGAGCCUGAAGACAUACACUCAGUGUUUCAGGCAAAGCUCCUUCGCUAUCAGAUUUCUGAAUGGACAAUGAAUCCAUGAACGCUACCUCAGUUUUCCCCCUCUUUUUGUACUUUAUUAAAUAUAUAUUUUAUAUAUACUUUAAUCUGGUAUUUUUUGUUGUUUUGGGGCAGCACGACAUGGCAAUGCUAAUUUCACGACAUAUACCAAUGGUAUGAAACUUGAUUCUGAUUGUGGAAGCAAUUGGAAGAAAUACUGUACAUGUCUACCCAUUCCCCUUCCAACCUAGAUUUCCAGUUAUUGAAGACCUGAGAUUGCGUAUGCUGCAAUCUAGAGCAAAUAAAAUGGCUGAAGGAACUCGGCAGAUUGCACGGUAUCUGUGGAAGCAGACAGAUGGCUGACAUUUUUGCAUCAUGACUCUGCAUCUAUAGACUAAUUGAAGUCCAUUAAAAUUUAUGAAUUGACAUGUAUAAUAUCUGUAAUUAAAUCAUCCCAGAGUGAUUAAUUUCUGCUUGUUGAUCUUGACAGUCUUGUAGCAUUUUCAACAAAUUAAGUUACCUGUGUAACGGAAGUUAAUGACAAAUAUAAAUCAAAUAAUGGACAUCAAAACCAAGUGUUAACAAUUUCUCUGCAGAAUGAGUGUUCCCUCUUGUGUUUAAAGCUCUGUAUUUGAACGUCCUUACAGAUGGCUUUUUGAAAAGAAAUAUUCUUUGCAUCAGCAUAAACCUUGUUGAAAGCUUGUAUUCUAUGGACUCAAAUGUUGAAUUAGCUUGGAUUAAAAUUAAUUUAUCACCUAUUGCCAGUUUACUUUCAAGAGCUGGUAGUGAACCACCAUCUUGUACCACUGCAUUCUUCUGUUGAAAGUACUCCCCAGUGCAGAAUUAGAAUUUUGCAACAAGGAGGGUCGAUGAUACUUCCAAGAUAAGGAUGAUGCAUGAUGGUGGUUCAUCAGUAACAUGAACUUAACCAGUGUGGUUGAAAUAGUUGGUAAGUUAGCCUGAUUUUUGGCAUUCUAGAUGUUGCUGAGUGUUUCCAGCAUUUUGUUUUUAAUUUGACUUUCUGGUAGUGGCAGUAUUUUGCUUUUGCAUUUUAAUUUAAGUUCUGGGAAUGGGAAUAGCCAAAUUCUGUUCAAUUCUUCCUGUAAAUCAAGACAUUUCAAAUGUUUUUAAUUCAACCAACUUUAAUCUUUUACCUGUGAAUCCUCAUGCCAUUUGUAAUUAAAAAUGAAUGCCUAAAGUUGAACUUGUUUUAAAGCUAUAGUAGUUUUGAGCCGCAAUGUCUUUUUUUUCAAGAAAUACUUCACUGUCCAUUACGUAUUUUUUUACAUUGAGUUAUUGUUUUGGUAUCAGACUUCAGGAGGAGAGGAAAUAAAAGUAGAAGGAAACCAGGAAUAUAUUUAAUGUUUCACUCAAUUGUGGAUCUAAAUUUCAAAGUUUUAAAAUUUGAUUAUUUUAAGAAUUUUAAUUGUUUACUUUGUGUCUAUCAUCGAGGGGCAUGCAUCAUGAAAGUAACAUGACUACAUUUCAUAGUCAGACAAGAGCAUGAUUGAAAUCUGGGUGAUGCUAGCAACACUUUAAUGAUUUUGAAGCUAUAGGAAAUGCAAGAAAUUGAGUUUAAGGGAAUUGGAUCUCAUUAAGUUUGUUAAAUAUUAAACUCCAGCUGAGGAUAAAGCAUAAUUUAAUAUCCCUAAACUACAGUAAACAUCUCUGUAUUUGGGACUUGAACUGCAUCACUACCAACUUUAUGAAACUUGCACAGGAUGUGAACAGGUAAGGCCUUGUAUUCCUCGCUUCUUACUGACAUUGGGCAGGUGGUAAUGGGUUGAAUUUUUAGCUGUAUUGCUGCGAACACCCUGUGAAUAAUGGCAAUGUCAAUACAUUUUCUUGUACGUUAUGGAAUUCUUAUUUGUUGAAGAAUAUUUGAUUAUGAUAAGAAGUUGCCUUGUGUCGAUGAUCAAAGUUCUGUGCUAAAUGAGAUGGUCUAAACUUGACAGCAAGCAUGAAGGGAUGGCACUAGUUUAUGAAAAGAGGGAGGAAAUAAAUAACCAUUGUGUCUCAUCUCUAACUCCUACGUGCUUAAAUUUGCUAUGAAGUGGACAGGAAACAAAGGUUGACUUGUGUACAGUGAAAUGGCAAGGCUAAGCAAAGCAGGAAAGAAAAGAGUUUUCCCACAGUCUGGAAGAAAUGGACUAGAAUAAUUUCAUAUGGCAUCCAGCAAUUUGCACUUGUUUAUUAAUUAUAGGGAGGCUUCCAAUUAAAAUUCCUUCCUUUAUUCAUGAUAUAAUUUUGACCAAUCAGUGCUAUUACUGAUUUAAUCAGCUUUAGCACUGCUAUUAUUCUCUUAAUUGGUAAACAUUUUCAAUUUCUAUUAAAUAUAUAAAAUGUACUGAGUCCCCAAGGAGUACAUUUUCUGCCUAGUAAAGAACGGGUGCAUUAGAAUGCUGAGGACAAUAGAUGGAUUAAGUGAUGGGAAGAUUUCUUGAGAUACAGCAUAGAAUAGGCCCUUGGAGCCACAUCGCCCAGCAAACCCCAGUUUAAUCCUAGCCUAAUCACAAAACAAUUUACAAUGCCCAAUUAACCUACCAACCAGUAUGUUUUUGGAUUUGGGAGGAAACUGAAACACCCAGAGGGACCCCACACAGCCACGGGGAGAACAUACAGACCCCUUACAGGCGUCAGCGGGGAUUAAACCAGGGUUGCUGGUACUGUAAAGCAUUGUGCUGACCACUACGCUGCUGUGCUGGUGAAGGGGAUCAAGUGGAAUUAGAAAUUGGGGUUUGGCAGACAUCCCACCUCUCCCGGAAGUUCCGGGAGUCUCCCGCAUAUUGAUAGUGGCUCCCUGACGCCCGCAAAUUAUAUACAAUAUCCUGGAAAUCGAUUUUUUUUUUCAAGAGGGGGAGAGAGAGAGAGAGAGAGAGUGACAGAGAGAGCAUCCUGAUAGGUCUACUUAGCACAAAGAGAGACCAAUCAGUUUUUUCUGUCGGCGGGCUUUGCAUUUGACCACUCUGUCUUUCAUUGUCCAUCAGUUCAGUUUAGUGUCCUGCAGCGCCAUGGCAGAGUGUUCCAAAGAAAGAAAAUAUAAAACAUACUUCACCCCAGACUACACUAGUAGGGGUCAAAAAUAAUGACAGUGUUGCUUGCUGCACUGUUUGUAACAGUGACUUUUCUAUUGCCCAUGGUGGGUUAAAUGAUUGUAAAAGACAUUUUGAGGUGAGUCCUGGAUUAUGUCUCAACUAACCUUGAAGGACUGGUGCCAAACUACAAAAGUUUGCCAGUUGAUGAGUUCUGGGGGAAGCUGUCCAAAGUAAAAUCUGUGAGCACAGGGCAGUUGAGAUUCAAAGAGCUCUGCCAGUUGAUGAAGCUGCUUUUGGUGCUGCCAAAUUCUAAUUGUGAUGUAGAAAGGCCAUUCAGCAUGGUGCAUCACAUUAAGACAGAAUUCAGAAGUCAGCUGUCUGACAAAACACUUGUGAAUCUGAUGUCUUGCAAAAUUAACAAAUUCAUUGACACAGACUGCUAUGGGGUUGGGAAUUCCAGUUGAGACCUCCCUGAAAUGAGUGGGAUGUCUGGGUUUGGGGAGGUGGUGGUGGUGGUGCAUGAGGAUGAGAUCAGCAAAAUCAUUUUAUCUGAUCUCCUCCAUGCUAGUGCAUAUGUCAUGCCUACCACCAAUAGAUUUGUCUACAAGGGUUGGUCAUUAUCAUGUAAUAGAAUUGUCAUUAGAUUAUGUAAUCAGACAUCCACUAUUUAGUGUUGAAAGCAACUAUGCUGCAAAAUUUCGUGAUUCAAUUUGAAGUGGUAUAACCUUCAUUUUCUGCUUUUUGCCUUGAAAUGGGAUACAAGAUAGUUUCAUCCCUGGAACAGCUAAGAAGUUUCCAUUUGGAAUAGAACUAUUAUUGAGUUGAAGGAUUUAAAUAAAUAAAUAAAUAAAUCAUGUAGCAUAUUUUAGUAUGGAGUUCAUUUCAUUUGCCUUUACGCUGUAACUUUGUCACAUAUCCUUGCUGCUCAGUCCGACACAUUAAUUAAAAUCCCUUGGAGAAUCUGGAGAUUGGUGUUUUAAAGUUAUCUCUGCACUCAGUAAGCUGCUGUUCAGAUAAUGUGGAUUGUUUCUGAAACAUUGCAAAUGCACAUUCUGCUGAAAUGGCAGAGGAGAAAAUAAAGAAUGUAAUGCAGUCAGUCUGCACCCCUAAUGGCGUGGCAUGAGCCCAGGCGAGCAUACCAGCUGACUGUACAAAUCUAGUGCCACGUCAUCAUGGCCUUGUUUAGAAAUGUGCUUCAUCUGGGUGCACUGCUUGUACCACAGGCACCAUACUUUGCAGGUUGGUCAAAUUCCACACUUUUAUUUGCCCAUGCUUCCCUUGCAUGUUGUGGAAAGGUUAUCUCCAAUAAUUGUUAAAUAUGCAGAUUAUACUUUUAUCUAAGAAACAACUGAUAAACUAUUCAGCUUUUGCAUUUUUCCAAAAUAGUCACAACAGUCUGAAAUGUUAUCAGAUUUUACGCAAUUGACUCAUUUCUGAAGCAUAGGAAUUGUUACUUAUCUCUGGCUUUGUCAGGAUGUGAUAUAGAGAUACAAUGGUAUUCAGUAAAGGCUUUUUAUGAUGCAGGUCUGCCACUGGUGUUGGCUGUACUUCCCCUAAAUGGAAUAUGGGUGUGCAUACUCAAUGAAAGAACUGCAAAGUAAUUUGAAUGCAUGGGACAGCAACACAUUGCAGUGUGGUUGCAAUCUGAAAUGUAAACAAAUUUGCCACAUGAUAAAUUCACCUUUAAAUUGAGCAUUUGGGCAAGGUGGAACCUAUGUGUACAUUUUGCCAGAUCUUCUGU